AAACAUCGCCUCUUGACAAAACAUAAGAGGUCCAGCCUGCCCAGUGACAAAGUUCAACGGCCGCGGUACCCUAACCGUGCGAAGGUAGCAUAAUCACUUGUUCUUUAAAUGAGGACUUGUAUCAACGGCACUACGAGGGCUAUACUGUCUCCUUUUUCUAAUCAGUGAAACUGAUCUCCCCGUGAAGAAGCGGGGAUCAAAAUAUAAGACGAGAAGACCCCAUGGAGCUUUAAACUCAUCACGCACCUCUGUGCCCCCAUAUCCUUAAACACAAGAGAUCUGCGUGCUAGUUUUAGGUUGGGGGGACCACGGAGUAUAACUUAACCUCCAUAACAAAUGGGCUAACACCCUUAUCCAUGAGACACAGCUCUAAGAAUUACCAAACUAAUGCUUAUGACCCGAUAUUCGAUCAAUGAACCAAGUUACCCUGGGGAUAACAGCGCAAUCUACUUCAAGAGCCCAUAUCGACAAGUAGGUUUACGACCUCGAUGUUGGAUCAGGGUAUCCCGGUGGUGCAACCGCUACCGAUGGUNNNUUUGUUCAACGAUUAAAACCCUACGUGAUCNGA
rnacentral:rRNA from 1 species